AUUCUAAUAAGCGUCUUCGCUCAUAUAAUCGCAAGAAUAUGGCUUGCAAGUUUCUACCAAAUGACCGUAAAUCAUUUGACUAUGAGUGAGCAGUGAGAAACA
rnacentral:ncRNA from 2 species